rnacentral:lncRNA from 1 species
AUCAGCCUCCUUCCUUCUGGGAAGCUGCCUUUGCUGAACUGACACUGGGAUGGGCACCUCCUGUGUCUGUUUCUCUGAAUGUCGUAAUAGUCCUGUGAGUUGAGUAGGGACUUGAGCUGAGUGGCCAGGCACAGGAAGCACCAAUGCAGCUCUUUGUGCUGAAUGGUACUGUCUCCCCUGUGUUGGCCCCUACCCACCCUUUUCCUGGGGCCCUUCCUUAAGGCCUCGUGCUGUGUGGGGG